rnacentral:rRNA from 1 species
UGCUCUUCGAUUCAGCGGCGGACGGGUGAGUAAUGCCUAGGAAUCUGCCUGGUAGUGGGGGACAACGUUUCGAAAGGAACGCUAAUACCGCAUACGUCCUACGGGAGAAAGCAGGGGACCUUCGGGCCUUGCGCUAUCAGAUGAGCCUAGGUCGGAUUAGCUAGUUGGUGAGGUAAUGGCUCACCAAGGCGACGAUCCGUAACUGGUCUGAGAGGAUGAUCAGUCACACUGGAACUGAGACACGGUCCAGACUCCUACGGGAGGCAGCAGUGGGGAAUAUUGGACAAUGGGCGAAAGCCUGAUCCAGCCAUGCCGCGUGUGUGAAGAAGGUCUUCGGAUUGUAAAGCACUUUAAGUUGGGAGGAAGGGCAUUAACCUAAUACGUUAGUGUUUUGACGUUACCGACAGAAUAAGCACCGGCUAACUCUGUGCCAGCAGCCGCGGUAAUACAGAGGGUGCAAGCGUUAAUCGGAAUUACUGGGCGUAAAGCGCGCGUAGGUGGUUUGUUAAGUUGGAUGUGAAAGCCCCGGGCUCAACCUGGGAACUGCAUCCAAAACUGGCAAGCUAGAGUACGGUAGAGGGUGGUGGAAUUUCCUGUGUAGCGGUGAAAUGCGUAGAUAUAGGAAGGAACACCAGUGGCGAAGGCGACCACCUGGACUGAUACUGACACUGAGGUGCGAAAGCGUGGGGAGCAAACAGGAUUAGAUACCCUGGUAGUCCACGCCGUAAACGAUGUCAACUAGCCGUUGGGAAUCCUUGAGAUUUUAGUGGCGCAGCUAACGCAUUAAGUUGACGGCCUGGGGAGU